UAAUCGUGGUGGAGGCAGAGGGCUUACGAUUCUUUGUAUCUUUCCCAUGUUUGAUAUAAAGUUUUGUUGUCCUUCUAGAUAAAAGAAGAAAUUUAUUUUUCAAAAUA
rnacentral:snoRNA from 1 species